rnacentral:rRNA from 1 species
GAUGAACGCUGGCGGCGUGCCUAAUACAUGCAAGUCGAGCGAACAGACGAGGAGCUUGCUCCUUCGACGUUAGCGGCGGACGGGUGAGUAACACGUAGGUAACCUACCUAUAAGACUGGGAUAACUUCGGGAAACCGGAGCUAAUACCGGAUAAUAUUUCGAACCGCAUGGUUCGAUAGUGAAAGAUGGCUUUGCUAUCACUUAUAGAUGGACCUGCGCCGUAUUAGCUAGUUGGUAAGGUAACGGCUUACCAAGGCAACGAUACGUAGCCGACCGGAGAGGGUGAUCGGCCACACUGGAACUGAGACACGGUCCAGACUCCUACGGGAGGCAGCAGAAGGGAAUCUUCCGCAAUGGGCGAAAGCCUGACGGAGCAACGCCGCGUGAGUGAUGAAGGUCUUCGGAUCGUAAAACUCUGUUAUUAGGGAAGAACAAACGUGUAAGUAACUGUGCACGUCUUGACGGUACCUAAUCAGAAAGCCACGGCUAACUACGUG